rnacentral:rRNA from 1 species
CCAAGUCGUGAGGCGGAGCUAAUCCCUUAAAGCCAUUCUCAGUUCGGAUUGUAGGCUGAAACUCGCCUACAUGAAGCUGGAGUUACUAGUAAUCGCAGAUCAGAAUGCUGCGGUGAAUGCGUUCCCGGGUCUUGUACACACCGCCCGUCACACCACGGAAGUUGGGGGCGCCCGAAGCCACUUAGCUAACCCUUUUGGGAAGCGAGUGUCGAAGGUGAAAUCAAUAACUGGGGUGAAGUCGUAACAAGGUACC